GCCUGGUGUAGUAAAACCUAUGGAAAGUCUCUGUGUAGGAGGGCAUUUUAAUACAGAGUAUCAGAACCCGAGAGAGGUGAGACGGAGAAGGAUGGUUUAGUAGAGAAUGCUAGAACACAGGCAACAAUGAGGAUGACAUCAUAGGACAGAGAGUGGCAGCAGUCAGAGACUGGUCACAUAGAUGGGUCAAAUAUGCUAAUAUGUUAAGGAUACUGAGAGCCAGAUUUCUCAUUGUCAGAGAAGGGAGUUACUAAUAUUGAAGUAGAGAAAACGAAUAUGAACCUUGGGAUGCCAAACUGAAAUUGGAGAAUGUGCUCUAGAGAAUGUGCUCUACAAAAAAGGAGAGAGUAAGCCAAAUCAGAAGACAACCUGGGACACAAAAAAACGAGAUUCAACACAGGAGAGACAGAAAAAUGCUGAAGAGAAACCUCGGGCCACAGCUGUAGACUAAACCAGAGGGACAACCAGUCCAGAUUGGAACAGAAGAUUCCAAGCACCAACUUUAGGACACAGUUAUUAAUAUCCAAGGAAAUAACUUUCUGUUCCUCAUCAAAAACAACUUCUCACAUCCAGACCAAAUAAAAAUGUUAACUCUCAAAAGUAUUUUGCCAAAACUUCAAAAUAAGAAAUUUUGAAAUCUAUGCCUUCCAAACAAUGAACGUUUAGAUUCUACUUCAGGAUAGGAAGACUGAAGACAGCAUCAGAAAGUAGCAUACACAUCUUUUCUUCAAGAGUCUUUUAAAUGGAUACCUUAAUAAGUAUCUCAACUCUAAUUUUUUGCCAAGGGCAUUUUUUUAGGACGUACAACUGAAAAUUUUCAAUGGGGGUGGAAAGACAAGCUCAUUAACAAUUUACAAAAAGCUAUAAUAAUAAAGCUACUAGAACACAGUAUAUCUGAUGAAA